rnacentral:rRNA from 1 species
GAUGAACGCUAGCGGCAGGCUUAACACAUGCAAGUCGAGGGGCAGCACGGGUAGCAAUACCUGGUGGCGACCGGCGCAAGGGUGCGUAACGCGUGAGCAACAUGCCCUAUACAGGGGGAUAAUCCAGGGAAACUUGGUCUAAUAUCCCAUAGUAUUUAGAGGAGGCAUCUUCUAUAAAUUAAAGCUUCGGUGGUAUAGGAUUGGCUCGCGUGACAUUAGCUAGAUGGUGAGGUAACGGCUCACCAUGGCAAUGAUGUCUAGGGGUUCUGAGAGGAAGGCCCCCCACACUGGGACUGAGACACGGCCCAGACUCCUACGGGAGGCAGCAGUGAGGAAUAUUGGACAAUGGAUGGAAAUCUGAUCCAGCCAUGCCGCGUGCAGGAAGACAGCCCUAUGGUGUAAACUGCUUUAUAUGGAGCAAUAAGGUCUACGUGUAGAACUGAUGAGAGUAACCAUAAUGAAUAAAGCA